ACUUGCAUGAGUUAAUACCCACC
rnacentral:miRNA from 1 species